rnacentral:rRNA from 1 species
GACGAACGCUGGCGGCGUGCUUAACACAUGCAAGUCGAACGGUGAAGCUCCAGCUUGCUGGAGUGGAUCAGUGGCGAACGGGUGAGUAACACGUGAGCAACAUGCCCCAGACUCUGGAAUAAGCGCUGGAAACGGCGUCUAAUACUGGAUACGAGAUCAAGCCGCAUGGUUAUGGUCUGGAAAGUUUUUCGGUUUGGGAUGGGCUCGCGGCCUAUCAGCUUGUUGGUGAGGUAAUGGCUCACCAAGGCGACGACGGGUAGCCGGCCUGAGAGGGCGACCGGCCACACUGGGACUGAGACACGGCCCAGACUCCUACGGGAGGCAGCAGUGGGGAAUAUUGCACAAUGGGCGAAAGCCUGAUGCAGCGACGCCGCGUGAGGGAUGACGGCCUUCGGGUUGUAAACCUCUUUCAGCAGGGAAGAAGCGAAAGUGACGGUACCUGCAGAAGAAGCACCGGCUAACUACGUG